rnacentral:rRNA from 1 species
CGGACGGGUGAGUAAUGUCUGGGAAACUGCCCGAUGGAGGGGGAUAACUACUGGAAACGGUAGCUAAUACCGCAUAACGUCGCAAGACCAAAGAGGGGGACCUUAGGGCCUCUUGCCAUCGGAUGUGCCCAGAUGGGAUUAGCUAGUAGGUGGGGUAAUGGCUCACCUAGGCGACGAUCCCUAGCCGGUCUGAGAGGAUGACCAGCCACACUGGAACUGAGACACGGUCCAG